rnacentral:rRNA from 1 species
GAUGAACGCUGGCGGCGUGCCUAAUACAUGCAAGUCGAGCGAACAGAUGAGGAGCUUGCUCCUCUGACGGUAGCGGCGGACGGGUGAGUAACACGUGGAUAACCUACCUAUAAGACUGGGAUAACUUCGGGAACCCGGAGCUAAUACCGGAUAAUAUAUUGAACCGCAUGGUUCAAUAGUGAAAGACGGUUUUGCUGUCACUUAUAGAUGGAUCCGCGCCGCAUUAGCUAGUUGGUAAGGUAACGGCUUACCAAGGCAACGAUGCGUAGCCGACCUGAGAGGACGAUCGGCCACACUGGAACUGAGACACGGUCCAGACUCCUACGGGAGGCAGCAGUAGGGAAUCUUCCGCAAUGGGCGAAAGCCUGACGGAGCAACGCCGCGUGAGUGAUGAAGGUCUUCGGAUCGUAAAACUCUGUUAUCAGGGAAGAACAAAUGUGUAAGUAACUAUGCACGUCUUGACGGUACCUAAUCAGAAAGCCACGGCUAACUACGUG